AUACGGAGGGUGCGAGCGUUAAUCGGAAUUACUGGGCGUAAAGCGUACGUAGGCGGUUUGCUAAGUCAGAUGUGAAAGCCCCGGGCUUAACCUGGGAACUGCAUUUGAUACUGGCAGACUAGAGUAUGAUAGAGGGGGGUAGAAUUCCUGGUGUAGCGGUGAAAUGCGUAGAUAUCAGGAGGAAUACCAGUGGCGAAGGCGGCCCCCUGGAUCAAUACUGACGCUGAGGUACGAAAGCGUGGGGAGCGAACAGUAUUAGAAACCCUAGUAGUCC
rnacentral:rRNA from 1 species